GCCCUCUUAGCUCAGAGGCUAGAGCACCGUCUUGAUAAGGCGUAGGUCGCUGGUUCGAUUCCAGCCGAGGGUACCA
rnacentral:tRNA from 1 species